rnacentral:rRNA from 1 species
CCCUUAGAUGUCCUGGGCUGCACGCGCGCUACACUGAUGUGUCCAGUAAGCACCUAACCUCUUCCGAAAGGAACGGGUAACCUUUGCAAAGCACAUCGUGAUGGGGAUAGAUUAUUGCAAUUAUUAGUCUUGAACGAGGAAUUCCUAGUAAGCACAAGUCAUCAGCUUGUGUUGAUUACGUCCCUGCCCUUUGUACACACCGCCCGUCGCUCCUACCGAUUGAAUGUUCCGGUGAGUUCUUCGGGCUGCGCGGUCUGCAGUUUCUGCGUUCCGUGCGGAAAGUUGCGCAAACCUUAACAUUUAGAGGAAGGAGAAGUCGUAACA